rnacentral:lncRNA from 1 species
CCUGCAUUCUCGGACAGUGCCACGUCCUCCGGCUGCCAGCGGGGCAGCGCCGCUAGGAGUGAAGGCAAUUUUGAAGGCAUGACUACGACCUGCUCUGGCCACAAGAGCUAAGAGUUGCCAGGUGCUGUCAUUCAGAGUCCACAGGAUGGAUGAAUGGAUAUGAAAAUGAACAAACGUGUGACACAACACUGCAUGAUUUACCGGCAAUGACUUUCUGAUCAAGCCUGAACAUCCCAAGACAACCAUGCUGUGAAGAAGUCGGUCUACCCCACUGGAGAAGGAAAGGCUGUUCAGGGAAGUGAAGAUGCCCCAGCUGACAGUCACCACCUGCCAGACAUAAAAGAUGGAAAUUCAUUUCUGCUAAAGAGAAAGAAAAAAUUGGAAGACAGGGUGAAGGUGAACAGGCCCAUUAUAAGAAAGAAACAAAAAUCUAUAUUCUGUCUACAAGGAAACGAGAGAGAGAAAGAGAGAGAAGAAAGAAGUUCCAGGAUUCUAAUGUACCAAAGGGAUCUCCUUUUUCUUGUUUUGUUCUGAAAAUUUCACCAAAAGAGCACAGGAGAACAUCUUGGCUAAUUCAUUGGCGAUGAUGUAAGAAAACUGAGAGAAAUGAAAGAAAUGAAGAAUUACUGCUGCAGAUAAUAUACAGCCUUGAGGAAAGAAAGGCUUUUAAGAUUAUAGAUAUAAAGGCUAUUGCUGUAUUCUGGGAUAAAAGAAAGUCUGAUGCAGGGAAAGGGGAAGUUGGAAAAACUGGAAAAAGAAAAAAGAAGAAAAGAAAAAAAGGACUGGAAAGACAUUGGUGAAUAGAAAGAUGAAAAGGGUGAAGAAAAAAAUGAUGAUGGUCAAUAGGGUGGUUUUAAAAGAGGCUUUUGUUUUAUUAAUUUGUUUUUGUGUGAGUGUGUGUGUAUGUGUUUGUUUUUUGCCUAAAAGUAUUUAACUCCGCAUUACACCACUGAUUUCAAAGAAAAAAAGCUGAAAUGUAAGAUCAUAUGAUUUGUUUUUAAACUGAACACUGUAUACUGUCUUUUUAUUUUUGCAAAAUUAAUGUAGUAUCCAGUGUGUCUUUAGAUAACCCUGUCCUUAAUGAUAUUUUCAAUAGCCACUAACCUUGCCUGGUACUGUUUCGGGGUUUAAACUAGAACAGAAAUUUAAGGCAGGCUUUAUUAGUGCAUAGUACAAAUCAAUUACAUAUAUAUGGAGAUAUUAUUUUUCCCUCUUCAAUUGUUUUUCAUGCAGCUUACCCAAUAUAAUUGUUCUGUUAGUUGUACACUACUCUGUGAUAGCAAAUAAUAAUAAUAAAAUAAUUAUGAUGAUAUUGCCCCUGUUUUGGUGAUAUUCUGAAUGUUUAUACGUAAAUGCAAAAUUUUUAAUUAAAAGUAAUUAGAGGCUGGGCAUGGUGGCUCACACCUGUAAUCCCAGUUUUUUGGGUGGUUGAGGCAGGUGGAUCACUUGAGGUCAGGAGCUCAAGACCAGCCUGGCCAACAUGGCGAAACCCCAUCUCUACCAAAACUACAAAAAUUAGCCAGGCGUGGUGGCAAGCGCAUGUAAUCCCAGCUACUCGGGAGGCUGAGGCAGGAGAAUUGCUUGAACCUGGGAGGC